GGAGAUGCUCGUGUUGGGCGGCACGGUUGCAGAAACGACUGGGACCUGGCAGUACGAUGACUGGAGUUCGUGCGAGAACAAUGCGGAGAAGAAAUCUCGCGGUAUAAGGUGUAUGGGCAACGACCUUACCACUGGACAGGAUGAUGGAAC
rnacentral:ribozyme from 1 species